rnacentral:rRNA from 1 species
UACGUAGGGUGCAAGCGUUGUCCGGAAUUAUUGGGCGUAAAGAGCUCGUAGGCGGUCUGUUGCGUCGGCUGUGAAAACCCGGGGCUCAACUCCGGGCCUGCAGCCGAUACGGGCAGACUAGAGUUCGGCAGGGGAGACUGGAAUUCCUGGUGUAGCGGUGAAAUGCGCAGAUAUCGGGAGGAACACCGGUGGCGAAGGCGGUUCUCUGGGCCUGUUCUGACGCUGAGGAGCGAAAGCGUGGGGAGCAAACAGG